rnacentral:lncRNA from 1 species
CAGAUUUACAUGGGGCUUAUUUUUUUUUUUUUUUUGGCCUAUUUCUCCCUUUUGGAAUGGGAAAGUCUACCAAAUAUCUGUCCCACCAUUAUAUCUUGGAAGUAAAUAACUUGCUUUUUAUUUUAUAGGCUCAUAGCUGAAAGGAACUUGCCUGAGUCUUCAAUGAGACUGGAUUUUGGACUUUAGAGUUAAUGCUGGGACAAGUUAAGACUUUUGAGACUACUGAGAUGAAAUGACGUAUGUGAGAAGAAUAUGAGUUGAGGGGGAGGGGAAGAAUGCUUUGGUUUGGAUAGCAUUUGGAUGAUUGCUUUGGUCCCACCACAACACCUUGAAAUUUGGUCCCCAGUGUGGCAGUGUUGGGAGGAGGGGCCUAGUGAAAGGUGUUUGGGAAAUGGAGGAGGAUUCCUCGUGAAAGGCUUGGUGCUAUUCUUAUAGUAGUGAAUGUUUUUUGUCAUUUAUUAAUGUGCUUUACAUUUAUUUGAUGUGUUCCUUGUUUUUUUAUAUUUAUGUUACAUUGUUUGGAAUUGGAAAGGAAUUUAAGAGAUCAUUUGGCCCAGGGAUACAAAAUGUCUUACAUAAAAGCUUCCACACUUAUUCCCUUGUCCGUGCCAGAUACUGUUUAAAUGAUUAUAGUGAUCUUUCCUAUGGAGUCUCAGAAUUCUUCUGAACACAUUACUUUAGGAAGAUGCUACCAAUCAUUAGAUCUGGCACAGGAGUUAAAACCUAUUUGCUACUUCAAUCUAGUCUAGACAAUCUCAUUUUACCAACAAGGAAACUGAAAUACAGAAAAAUCAAAUGAUACCCCAGGACUCAAAACUUGUAACAUGCAAAGGAAGAAUAAUUCUGGUGCUUCUUACUCAAUCCAGUGGUAUUUCUACUAUAUGUCUUUUAAGGUCAUCUUGAAAGAGAAAUUUUCUGAAGUAACAGGAAAAUUACUAUGAAGUGCACACUUCAAGAUUUUCUUGAAAAACGUGCAUUUCUGUUUUCAGUGCUAAUCAACCCUGGUUAUGACUAGUGUCUUAGAAAACACCAAAAAGAGUUGUUUAUUUGAACAACAUAUGAUAUAAGCCCAGUAUGAAAUAUUUGUUAAGUAAAGCUUUUCUGAGUGAAAUAAGUGUGUGUGUGUAUUUGUUCUCUCCCCCACUCCAUCUCAAGCACCAAGUAACUCUUGGGACCCCCUAAGCCUUUUUAAAGAACAGUUUGAAAGCCAUUACACUCGAGAAACAAAUGUUUCUGCCUAAAGGAACUGUAAAUAUUAUACAUUCAUAAUUUAAAGUAUAUUUUUUCAACUCAGAUACCAUAUCUAUUUGUCAAACACAAAGAGUCAUAGACUGAUAUUUCCCUGAAUUAUGCCAAUGGACUUCAUAUAUAUAACAAACUAGUGAUUCAUUUUUAAUGUACUUGAUUAAUAAGCAGAUUUUAU